GGUUUGUUGCCCCUACAGAGCCUGUUUGCCCUGGCACUCGCGCUUGGAGCACUGCGCUGGCUUCCACCAGUCCCCGUUGUGGCAGUGGCAGAUGUUGCAGUCGUCCACCUUCACCUCGAUGCCAGCGGGAAUGAUUGUGGUUCCUGCAAAGCAGUUCGGACCUGCAAAAACACCCGUUUGGCUCUGAGAUGGACAAGGCCGCGAGGACAAACAUCAGGACACAGACCAGCCUUUACUGCUCUACCCUGGUGAGCCUGCACAGAUCUGCAGAGACCAGAGCCACCUCAUCCCACAGGACACCAGCAGCCGUGCCUGAACGCCCCCGAUAACCCCAGCUCCCCCCACCCCGGAGCUCAGGCCAAUUAACCUUAAAUGAUUGAUGGCACCAAAUUAACGAAGACCAUUCACCUCCCAGCCAGUGUUUUUCCUGGAAAGGCAGAAUGUUUGUGCAAGCUUUCUCACCAAACCUCAGCCAACUCCAGUCUUGACUCACCAGCGCAGACAGUAUUUUCUGAUGUGUGCAGAGCUCCCAGAGGUGGGUACGUCACUCCUGUCCUCUCUGCUGAAAGGAACCAAAAUAUGGAUACGUGCAAUGAUGGACCAAGUGAUGUUUCUCCGCGACAGCAUUUUCUGAUGAAGGUUUUGAACAUGGGAUCAUAUUAGAAAUGGAACUUCAAAGCAACACGGAAACUUUUCAUGUAAGAAGAGAGCUGCUGCUGAAACCGUUUCUUUCUACUCCCGCCUCGCGUUUGAGGUAGGUUUUCUGCAGAACCCAUUUUUUGCACUUUGUGUGACACAACAAGCCCAUCUCCUGCUGCCUUCUCCACCGUUUCCAUCCUCCUGGCUCCAAUGGCAGACACAGAAACGACUGCUCACGGACGGGUAAGACGCAGGUGAAAGGCAAAUUUAACGAACACGUAUAUAUAUAUAUAUGUAUAAAAGCUAAAAGUCUGUGUUGCUCACCAAAGGUUCCCUUUCCAGUUGAAGAAUGGACUCUUCUGGAGGGUGCUUAACAGAGCCAAGUGACACCAGCCUUUGGGCUUGCCUUUUUUUUAAUUCCUUAUUAAGUUUGCUAAAUAUAAUCCCAGCCCAACCUUCGUGUCAGGCUGCAGCGGCAGAGCUCCCAUUUCUAUACCAGUCUGUACAAACAGUGGAUUACCCAGAGAAAGAGACCAACCACAAUGGCAGAAACAGAACUUAUUAAUUCAUUUGUGGAAUUAAAUCACCUGCCCCGGGACACGGAGGAAAGAAAUGCAGGAAAACACCUCUAACCCCUCCCCAAGCACCAGAUAAACUCGCCGAUAGAGGAGACACAGCCCUGCUGUGCCCAAAUCUGCUGGAACCUGCUGGAACAGGAGGCAGAGCAGGAUGGAUGGACCUUGAGGGCACACGUGGGGAGAGCAAACCACAGCAAGGACGGGCACACCUUGGUCUGGUGGACAGAUGAGACACGCAGAGGUGGAAUAAACAGGCCCCAAAACCUUCCGCUGGGACCUGCCCUUAUUUCUCCAACAGCUGCAGAAGCAGCUUUAAUCCAUGUUUUGUCCCCAGAUUUUGCUCUUCUGAAGGGCCCAUUACGCUACCUGAAUUUAAUGGUAUCCAUGGCAUUUGCACAAUGCUUUCUUAUGGUGCCGUGCGAGGAGUCAGGUUGCUAAUAAAAAUAAAAUGAGCGGUGCCGGUUUUGCAUGUGAAUAGUUGCAUUUAACUAAAUCAUCAAAUGGAAAAGGAUCGUCCUUUUCUUCGCUAAUAAUUCUGGGUGCCACUACAAAAUGCAUUACCACAAUCUAUGUGGGCUUUUAUACUCCAGCAGAUGCCAUGUGAUAUUAUGCUGAUGUGCCAGGACAGGAUAGUUAUUUUGCACUAUAAGGUAGCAACUAGGAAUGAUGAAAGGCUGGGGGAAAUUUAUGGUGGAUAUAUGUGGUUCUGCAUCCCUCCCCCCUUAAAUUUUCAGAAUGGUUCCUUACCCCUCAUUCUGUCAGUCUGGUUUUAUUAUUUAAUUACUGGAUAAAACUACCACUCACUCCCUGGUCUCGGUGGCACCACGGCAUCCAAGAGGCAUCACAGCAUCCCCACGGGGCAGGGAAGUGCACAGGGGAAACUGAGGUGCAGAGG